CGACAGCAAUAUGAAGGUCAGGCUGAAGACCUUACCCGAUUAGCUGAGAGGUGGUGCAUGGCCGUCGUCAGUUCGUACUGUGAAGCAUCCUGUUAAGUCAGGCAACGAGCGAGACCCACGUCCACAGUUGCCAGCAUACCCUCCGGGGUGAUGGGUACACUGUGGAGACCGCCGCUGCUAAAGCGGAGGAAGGAGUGGGCAACGGUAGGUCAGUAUGCCCCGAAUCUCCCGGGCUACACGCGGGCUACAAUGGUUGGUACAAUGGGCAUCUACCCCGAAAGGGGAAGGAAAUCUCUUAAAGCCAAUCGUAGUUCGGAUUGAGGGUUGCAACUCGCCCUCAUGAAGCUGGAAUCCGUAGUAAUCGCGUUUCAACAGAACGCGGUGAAUACGUCCCUGCUCCUU
rnacentral:rRNA from 1 species